UACGUAGGGUGCGAGCAUUAAUCGGAAUUACUGGGCGUAAAGCGUGCGCAGGCGGUGAUGUAAGACAGAUGGGAAAUCCCCGGGCUCAACCUGGGAACUGCAUUUGUGACUGCAUCGCUGGAGUGCGGCAGAGGGGGAUGGAAUUCCGCGUGUAGCAGUGAAAUGCGUAGAUAUGCGGAGGAACACCGAUGGCGAAGGCAAUCCCCUGGGCCUGCACUGACGCUCAUGCACGAAAGCGUGGGGGCAAACAGG
rnacentral:rRNA from 1 species